rnacentral:tRNA from 1 species
AAUUAAUAAGCUAUGCAAGAGCAUAUAUUUUGAAAAUAUAUAAAAGAAUACUAGAUUCUAUUAAUUU